ACAUGCAAGUCGAGCGAACAGAAGGGAGCUUGCUCCCGGAUGUUAGCGGCGGACGGGUGAGUAACACGUGGGUAACCUGCCUGUAAGACUGGGAUAACUCCGGGAAACCGGAGCUAAUACCGGAUAGUUCCUUGAACCGCAUGGUUCAAGGAUGAAAGACGGUUUCGGCUGUCACUUACAGAUGGACCCGCGGCGCAUUAGCUAGUUGGUGGGGUAAUGGCUCACCAAGGCGACGAUGCGUAGCCGACCUGAGAGGGUGAUCGGCCACACUGGGACUGAGACACGGCCCAGACUCCUACGGGAGGCAGCAGUAGGGAAUCUUCCGCAAUGGACGAA
rnacentral:rRNA from 1 species